rnacentral:lncRNA from 1 species
CGCAGCGCCGCUUCCAAGUCGCGCACCGCUCGCUCGUAGUCUCCGCUGUAGUAGGCGGCCGCGCCGCUGGCGUAGAGCAGGUCGAAGGGCUGCAGAGGCCCGGGCUCCAGCUCCAGCUCCCGGCGUGGGCUGUCCGGGGGGCCGCCCCACAGUGGCGGCGGCAGUAGCAGCGGCAGCAGCAGCAGCAGCGGCGGCGCCCAGAUGCGCUCCCGCAUCCUCCGCCUCAGAGAGGCGCGGGACGGUUACGCUCGAGAGGGCUUCGGGGCACCUCGCGUCCGGGUCCCCUCUCCCACCUUCCCUCGGGGAAGCGCGCCGACUCCGCCGCGAUCUGGCCGCUCCGCGAGCCCCAGGUGACCGCCGGCGCUCCGCGUACUGAGAGGCGGAGGCCGUGCCUGGCCAGCCGCUCUUAAAGGGACGCCCACAGCUCACACGCUCCUCCUGCUGCCUGAGACUCCGAGAGCCGCUCUCCCAGGCUCCCCGCUGCAGCGGCGGGGCUGCCAGGGGCGGCACACUCCAGCGCCAGCCAGAGAGCUAGCGCCGCUUGAGGCCGGCCGGGGACGAGGCGCUUUACACUGCCUGAUGGGUACUAGCAGCCCACCCCAGCCAGAUGGAGGACAAGGCCUCUCCAAGUCUCAAGGAAAUGCACAAUCCUUCCUUACCUCUGGCCUCAGAACUCUCAGCAUCUCAUUGAUUAGCAACCUCAUCUGUGGCAAAUCUAAGGAACACCUUCUACUUAAAAUUGAAGUCUUCUGGGCUGGGUGUGGUGGCUCAUUCCUGUAAUCCCAGCACUUUGGGAGGCCAAGGAGUGCGGAUCACGAAGUCAGGAGUUCGAGACCAGCCUGGCCAACAUAGUGGAACCCUGUCUCUACUAAAAAUACAAAAAUUAGCCGGGUGUGGUGGCACAUGCCUGUAGUCCCAGCUACUCGGGAGGCUGAGGCCUCUGAGCCCAAGCUAAGCCAUCAUAUCCCCUGUGACCUGCACGUACACAUCCAGAUGGCCGGUUCCUGCCUUAACUGAUGACAUUCCACCACAAAAGAAGUGAAAAUGGUCUGUUCCUGCCUUAACUGAUGACAUUGUCUUGUGAAAUUCCUUCUCCUGGCUCAUCCUGGCUCAAAAGCUCCCCCACUGAGUACCUUGUGAUCCCCACUCCUGCCCACCAGAAAACAACCCCCUUUGAGGACAUGCAUGAAAUUUGGUGCCGUGACUCAGAUCGUGACCUCCCUUGGGAGGUCCUCCUGUUCUUUGCUCCUUGAGAAAGAUCCACCUAUGGUCCUCAGACCGACCAGCCCAAGAAACAUCUCACCAAUUUCAAAUCUGACAGGAAUAUCAGGCCUGUGAGCCCAAGCUAAGCCAUCAUAUCCCCUGUGACCUGCACGUACACAUCCAGAUGGCCGGUUCCUGCCUUAACUGAUGACAUUCCACCACAAAAGAAGUGAAAAUGGCCUGUUCCUCCCUUAACUGAUGACAUUGUCUUGUGAAAUUCCUUCUCCUGGCCCAUCCUGGCUCAAAAGCUCCCCCACUGAAUACCUUGUGACCCCCACUCCUGCCCACCAGAGAACAAUCCCCUUUGACUGUAAUUUUCCUUUAUCUACCCAAAUCCCAUAAAACAGCCCCACCCCUAUCUCCCUUUGCUGACUCUCUUUUCGGACUCAGCCCGCCUGCACCCAGGUGAUUAAAAG